UAAAGGCUUGGUCCUAGCUUUACCAUCAGCUUCAAUCUAAUUUAUACAUGCAAGUAUCCGCACUCCCGUGAGAAUGCCCUAAAUCCUCCACCCGAGGACAGGGAGCGGGCAUCAGGCACACAUCAUUAGCCCAAGACGCCUUGCUAAGCCACACCCCCAAGGGAUUUCAGCAGUAACAAAUAUUAAGCCAUAAGUGCAAACUUGACUUAGUUAAGACUAAUUAGGGUCGGUAAAAUUCGUGCCAGCCACCGCGGUUAUACGAAAGACCCCAGUUGAUGAAUACCGGCGUAAAGGGUGGUUAAGAAUUCAAUUUAAUAGAGCUAAAGUUUCUCCAAGCCGUCAUACGCACCGCGAGAAAACGAAAUCUGAACACGAAAGUAGCUCUAAAUAGACUGACCCCACGAAAGCUAAGAAACAAACUGGGAUUAGAUACCCCACUAUGCUUAGCCAUAAACCUAGAUGUAACACUACACACACAUCCGCCAGGGAACUACGAGCACAGCUUAAAACCCAAAGGACUUGGCGGUGUCUCAGACCCACCUAGAGGAGCCUGUUCUAGAACCGAUAACCCCCGUUAAACCUCACCACUUCUUGUUUAUCCCGCCUAUAUACCGCCGUCGUCAGCUUACCUUGUGAAAGACAAAUAGUAAGCAAAAUGGGCAUACCCAAAAACGUCAGGUCGAGGUGUAGCGCACGGAGUGGAAAGAAAUGGGCUACAUUUUCUACAACAUAGAAUAGAAACGAAUGGUGCACUGAAAUAAUCAUCUGAAGGUGGAUUUAGUAGUAAAUAAUUAAUAGAGAGCAUUUUUGAAUUAGGCUCUGAGACGCGCACACACCGCCCGUCACUCUCCCCACAAUAAACAAAUUCCUCAUAUAUAAUAACAUAAAAAAAUUACGGGGAGGCAAGUCGUAACAUGGUAAGUGUACCGGAAGGUGCACUUGGGAUAU
rnacentral:ncRNA from 1 species